GUUCACCAGGUGAGAGGAGCUGAAAAGAACUUAUUAGGAAUGACUUACACUUUCCCAUGCUGGGCCUCAGAAAGCUCACCUGUUUUCAACUUUUACAGGUAACUGGAGCCCUUCUCCAGACAGGCAAGUGAAUCAAUCAUUGCACAACUUGGCAUGACUGGCAUUCCCUGAUUGAGAGGCAGAAGCUCCAGCUUGCAGAUCAAAGUGGAGCAACCCAUUGGAAUUCGGGUGUCCCAGCAAAACCAGGCAGUGGAAGCUUGUGGGUGGCCUCUGUGCCAGGUUCAGGUGUCCUACACCCGUGAUCCUUGAGGACAGGAGAGCUCUCUAUUCCAAGGAGGCUUUAAAGCUAAACACAGACCAAAAAAAGGAAGGACAGAGCGGUCACGUAGCUCCUACACUCAGGGAGGAUAGCUGAGAGAGACAACCAAACAAAAGAAAACCUUAGGAUUCUAACCCAGCUGAAAAAACUUGUUCCUAAAGAGCCAGAGAGACUGAAGCAGCUGAUUUCCCA